AGAGUUUGAUCCUGGCUCAGGACGAACGCUGGCGGCGCGCCUAACACAUGCAAGUCGAACGGAGUUAUUUUCUUCACUCCGAGCUUUUUGCCAGUUAGCCGGAGCGGCAAUCGGUUUUGCCCAGCAUAAAAAGCAAAACCGAUUUAGGCUCAUAAAGUAAGACUAACACAGAGGGCAGAGAGUUGGGAGUGAAGAAAAUAACUUAGUGGCGAACGGGUGAGUAACGCGUGAGUAACCUGCCCUGGAGUGGGGGACAACAGUUGGAAACGACUGCUAAUACCGCAUAAGCCCACGAUCCGGCAUCGGAUUGAGGGAAAAGGAUUUAUUCGCUUCAGGAUGGACUCGCGUCCAAUUAGCUAGUUGGUGAGGUAACGGCCCACCAAGGCGACGAUUGGUAGCCGGACUGAGAGGUUGAACGGCCACAUUGGGACUGAGACACGGCCCAGACUCCUACGGGAGGCAGCAGUGGGGAAUAUUGCACAAUGGGGGAAACCCUGAUGCAGCGACGCCGCGUGGAGGAAGAAGGUUUUCGGAUUGUAAACUCCUGUCGUUAGGGACGAUAAUGACGGUACCUAACAAGAAAGCACCGGCUAACUACGUGCCAGCAGCCGCGGUAAAACGUAGGGUGCAAGCGUUGUCCGGAAUUACUGGGUGUAAAGGGAGCGCAGGCGGACCGGCAAGUUGGAAGUGAAAACUAUGGGCUCAACCCAUAAAUUGCUUUCAAAACUGCUGGCCUUGAGUAGUGCAGAGGUAGGUGGAAUUCCCGGUGUAGCGGUGGAAUGCGUAGAUAUCGGGAGGAACACCAGUGGCGAAGGCGGCCUACUGGGCACCAACUGACGCUGAGGCUCGAAAGUGUGGGUAGCAAACAGGAUUAGAUACCCUGGUAGUCCACACCGUAAACGAUGAUUACUAGGUGUUGGAGGAUUGACCCCUUCAGUGCCGCAGUUAACACAAUAAGUAAUCCACCUGGGGAGUACGACCGCAAGGUUGAAACUCAAAGGAAUUGACGGGGGCCCGCAC
rnacentral:rRNA from 1 species